AUUGAACGCUGGCGGCAGGCCUAACACAUGCAAGUCGAGCGGCUGCAGGGAGCUUGCUCCUGGAUUCAGCGGCGGACGGGUGAGUAAUGCCUAGGAAUCUGCCUGUUAGUGGGGGAUAACGUCCGGAAACGGGCGCUAAUACCGCAUAAGCCCUGAGGGAGUACGUGGGGGAUCUUCGGACCUCACGCUAUCACAUGAGCCGAGGUCGGAUUAGCUAGUUGGUGGGGUAAAGGCCUACCAAGGCGACGAUCCGUAACUGGUCUGAGAGGAUGAUCAGUCACACUGGAACUGAGACACGGUCCAGACUCCUACGGGAGGCAGCAGUGGGGAAUAUUGGACAAUGGGCGAAAGCCUGAUCCAGCCAUGCCGCGUGGGUGAAGAAGGCCUUCGGAUUGUAAAGCCCUUUUGUUGGGGAAGAAGGGCAGUAAGUUAAUACCUCGCUGUUUUGACGGUACCAAAAGAAUAAGCACCGGCUAACUUCGUG
rnacentral:rRNA from 1 species